rnacentral:rRNA from 1 species
GAUGAACGCUGGCGGCGUGCCUAAUACAUGCAAGUCGAGCGAACGGACGAGAAGCUUGCUUCUCUGAUGUUAGCGGCGGACGGGUGAGUAACACGUGGAUAACCUACCUAUAAGACUGGGAUAACUUCGGGAAACCGGAGCUAAUACCGGAUAAUAUUUUGAACCGCAUGGUUCAAAAGUGAAAGACGGUCUUGCUGUCACUUAUAGAUGGAUCCGCGCUGCAUUAGCUAGUUGGUAAGGUAACGGCUUACCAAGGCAACGAUGCAUAGCCGACCUGAGAGGGUGAUCGGCCACACUGGAACUGAGACACGGUCCAGACUCCUACGGGAGGCAGCAGUAGGGAAUCUUCCGCAAUGGGCGAAAGCCUGACGGAGCAACGCCGCGUGAGUGAUGAAGGUCUUCGGAUCGUAAAACUCUGUUAUUAGGGAAGAACAUAUGUGUAAGUAACUGUGCACAUCUUGACGGUACCUAAUCAGAAAGCCACGGCUAACUACGUGCCAGCAGCCGCGGUAAUACGUAGGUGGCAAGCGUUAUCCGGAAUUAUUGGGCGUAAAGCGCGCGUAGGCGGUUUUUUAAGUCUGAUGUGAAAGCCCACGGCUCAACCGUGGGGGGUCAUUGGAAACUGGAAAACUUGAGUGCAGAAGAGGAAAGUGGAAUUCCAUGUGUAGCGGUGAAAUGCGCAGAGAUAUGGAGGAACACCAGUGGCGAAGGCGACUUUCUGGUCUGUAACUGACGCUGAUGUGCGAAAGCGUGGGGAUCAAACAGGAUUAGAUACCCUGGUAGUCCACGCCGUAAACGAUGAGUGCUAAGUGUUAGGGGGUUUCCGCCCCUUAGUGCUGCAGCUAACGCAUUAAGCACUCCGCCUGGGGAGUACGACCGCAAGGUUGAAACUCAAAGGAAUUGACGGGGACCCGCACAAGCGGUGGAGCAUGUGGUUUAAUUCGAAGCAACGCGAAGAACCUUACCAAAUCUUGACAUCCUUUGACAACUCUAGAGAUAGAGCUUUCCCCUUCGGGGGACAAAGUGACAGGUGGUGCAUGGUUGUCGUCAGCUCGUGUCGUGAGAUGUUGGGUUAAGUCCCGCAACGAGCGCAACCCUUAAGCUUAGUUGCCAUCAUUAAGUUGGGCACUCUAAGUUGACUGCCGGUGACAAACCGGAGGAAGGUGGGGAUGACGUCAAAUCAUCAUGCCCCUUAUGAUUUGGGCUACACACGUGCUACAAUGGACAAUACAAAGGGCAGCGAAACCGCGAGGUCAAGCAAAUCCCAUAAAGUUGUUCUCAGUUCGGAUUGUAGUCUGCAACUCGACUACAUGAAGCUGGAAUCGCUAGUAAUCGUAGAUCAGCAUGCUACGGUGAAUACGUUCCCGGGUCU